GACGAACGCUGGCGGCGUGCCUAAUACAUGCAAGUAGGACGCAGUCGCGAACGGGUGAGUAACGCGUCGGUAACUCCCUAUGAUACGGGGAUAACUAUUGGAAACGAUAGCUAAUACCGCAUACUAGUAGAUGGAACUGCGUUGUAUUAGCUAGUAGGUAGGGUAAAGGCCUACCUAGGCAACGUUCACUGGCCGAGCUGCGAGGGUGAACGGCCAAACUGGGACUGGGAAACGGCCCAGACUCCUAAGGGAGGCAGACGGAGGGAAUCUUGGGCAAUGGGGGGAACCCUGACCGAGCAACGCCGCGUGAGUGAAGAAGGUUUUCGGGUCGUAAAGCUCUGUUGUUAAGGAAGCGGUACUUAACCAGAAAGGGACGGCUAACUACGUGCCAGCAGCCGCGGUAAUUC
rnacentral:rRNA from 1 species